ACGAACGCUGGCGGCAUGCCUAACACAUGCAAGUCGAACGGAGUUUAAUUGACAGAAGCCUUCGGGCAGAAGACGAUUAAACUUAGUGGCGGACGGGUGAGUAACGCGUGGAUAACCUGCCUUAUAGAGGGGGACAACAGUUGGAAACGACUGCUAAUACCGCAUAAGGUCUCGAGACCGCAUGAUCUUGAGAAGAAAGAUGGCCUCUGAAAAUGCUAUCGCUAUAAGAUGGAUCCGCGUCUGAUUAGCUAGUUGGUGAGGUAACGGCUCACCAAGGCAACGAUCAGUAGCCGGCCUGAGAGGGUGAACGGCCACAUUGGGACUGAGACACGGCCCAAACUCCUACGGGAGGCAGCAGUGGGGAAUCUUCCGCAAUGGGCGAAAGCCUGACGGAGCAAUGCCGCGUGAAUGAAGAAGGCCUUCGGGUCGUAAAAUUCUGUCCUUAUUGAAGAGAGGUUCAUGUGUAAACAAUGCAUGAAUAGGACGGUAGAUAAGGAGGAAGCCCCGGCUAACUACGUGCCAGCAGCCGCGGUAAUACGUAGGGGGCGAGCGUUGUCCGGAAUCACUGGGCGUAAAGGGCGCGUAGGCGGCCUAGUAAGUCAGAUGUGAAAAGUGAGGGCUCAACCCUUAGAGUGCAUCUGAUACUGCUAGGCUUGAGUACAGAAGAGGAAAGCGGAAUUCCUAGUGUAGCGGUGAAAUGCGUAGAUAUUAGGAGGAACACCAGUGGCGAAGGCGGCUUUCUGGGCUGAAACUGACGCUGAGGCGCGAAAGCGUGGGGAGCAAACAGGAUUAGAUACCCUGGUAGUCCACGCCGUAAACGAUGGGUACUAGGUGUCGGGGGUAUCGAUACCCUCGGUGCCGGAGUAAACACAAUAAGUACCCCGCCUGGGGAGUACGAUCGCAAGAUUGAAACUCAAAGGAAUUGACGGGGGCCCGCACAAGCGGUGGAGCAUGUGGUUUAAUUCGAAGCAACGCGAAGAACCUUACCAGGUCUUGACAUCCCGAUGCUAUUCUUAGAGAUAGGAAGUUACUUCGGUACAUCGGAGACAGGUGGUGCAUGGUUGUCGUCAGCUCGUGUCGUGAGAUGUUGGGUUAAGUCCCGCAACGAGCGCAACCCUUGUCUUUAGUUGCCAGCAUUAAGUUGGGCACUCUAAAGAGACUGCCGGUGACAAACCGGAGGAAGGUGGGGAUGACGUCAAAUCAUCAUGCCCCUUAUGUCUUGGGCUACACACGUGCUACAAUGGUCGGUACAAAGGGCAGCGAGACCGCGAGGUGGAGCGAAUCCCAAAAAGCCGAUCCCAGUUCGGAUUGCAGGCUGCAACCCGCCUGCAUGAAGUCGGAAUCGCUAGUAAUCGCAGGUCAGCAUACUGCGGUGAAUACGUUCCCGGGCCUUGUACACACCGCCCGUCACACCACGAAAGUUGGUAACACCCGAAGCCGGUGGUCUAACCGCAAGGAGGAAGCUGUCGAAGGUGGGACUAAUGAUUGGGGUG
rnacentral:rRNA from 1 species